UUCCAGCAGGACAGACACGUACCCUUCAGGCUGGCCACAUCAGGCACGUGCCAGACCAGCUGCCAGGGCCCAGAACCUCAGGCCUGCUGGGCCCUAGAGGGUGACCUGCUCCACAGCUGACCCUGUUCAACCUCAGGAAGGAUGGUAACUCUCCGGGAUGUGAGGGAUGUGAGACCCCACCCAAGCCCUCUUCGGAGUCAGUGUCCAUGCAAGGGCUUUGACUAAGACCUUGCUGAGGCCUGGAGAACUCUUGUGCUUCCUCUAAAGCCCAGACCAAAGACACCUCCUCUGGAAAGCCCACCCUGACCGGUGAUGGCUGUCCUGCCAGAUGGCCAAGCUGUGUUCCGCCAGGACGGGCUCGUACCCUUCAGGCUGGCCACGUUGGCACGUGCCAGACCAGCUGCCAGGGCCUGGGGCCUCUUUUGAGGCUUUGACUUGGCCCCCACCCUGGUUCGUGGACCUGUUAUUUCCCCAUGCUGAGCUUCAAGGUUCUGAGGCCAGAGACAGGGUCCUAGUCAAGUUUGAGGCCUCAGAUCCAACACCAUGACCCAACCCAGUGCUUUUGUGCAUGGAAUGAAGGAAUCCUGACCAUGCUGGGCUGAGACCUGCCAGGGCAAGGGCCCCAGGAGUAGGCACAGGGCCCUGGGGCAUAGCCAUCCUGCCCUGGCCUAUCCCUGCCCCAUGCCUGAGCCCCGUGCUAACAGCAAGUUCCUGUUGCAAGCUGUACCCUGUCCCAGACACGUGGCAUUUACCAAAAGGGCAGAGACAUUGAGAAGGGCCUCCCCUGUGCCAUCCACUCACAAAGGGGCUGGAAAGGCCAGCAAGGAGAGGAGUCAUAUUUCAAAGGGCUCUGAAGAUGUCACAGUGACGGCAAUGCUCACCACCUCAAACCGCCCAAGGAGCCAUAUCCAGACUAGACAAUAUAAGAAACAGCUGCAGAGCAGCAAGAGGACAGCAACCCGACCCCAGAAAUGGACAUGAGAGCUCCACCUUGCAUGUGGCCUGAGGCACCUCACCUGAACCACACCUGCCUGGAUCCGAGGAAGUGCCCAGUGAGUCCUGGGUCAUUAUCAGUGAGAAAGUCCUCCUGCUCUUUUUGUGGCUGCUCCUCUCACUGCCUCUGCCUCCACGUCUAUAUAAUGAGGACUGGAAUCACCAGGCAAGUUUGCAGAUUAAAUGAGACAAUGCCCAGUGUGCACUCAGACAGAGCUGCCAGGACCAGGGGAGGGAGCUGACCAGGGUCAUACAUCCAGCUAGUGGCAGAACUGGGUUCUUCACGGGAGCAGGGCACCGUGCCAGCUGCCACUCCCAUCCCCCACCAUGAGGCCUUCAGGCCAGUGGGCAGCAUGUCUUCUUUCAGAGUCUGAGGCCGUGUCCCUGAGACCCUUCCCUCCAGCCCCAACUCCCACUCCAGGAGCCUCUGACUCAGGAGAGCACCAGGAAGCCUGUGUGGGCCAGAUGCAAGCCAGGAAGGAGAGGGUUGGGGAAGAAGGAGGCAGAAGCCUCUAUCCUGCCCUCCCGGAACACAGAGGUAUCCAGGGACAUCAGUCUGGGAGAGUGCACCCAGACUCAGGGACUCUACCAGGAGACUGCUGGGUGACUCCUAAGUCAGGAGUCUUAGCCUUGCCUGGCCUUUCCUUUAAUUAACAAUAAUAAUAGUCAACAUUUGUAUACCUCCUACUGUGUACAAGGCAGUGUUCUGCUUUAGGUAUAUUAUCUCAUUUAAUUCUCACAACAACCCUAAGAGGCCAAUGCUAUUAUUGUCUUCAUUUUACAGAUGGGGAAACCUAGACAAAGAGAGGGUAAGUAACUUUCCAAAAGUCACGCAGCUUGCACACAGCAGAGCUAGGAUUUGGCCUGCCUUGAGUUUGUGCUCUUACCCCCGCAGUGCACUCUCAGACAGCAUGGCCGGGCUUUUCCUGAGCCAGCACUUCUGAUUCCCCCUGGGGUGUAACAGCUGAUACCCUGUUUAUACCACAACACCUGGAUGGGAGCUUCACCCAGGGGUGGCAGUGCUGGCACCCGGGCAGCACUCCUACCUUGUCUCUUACUUGGGAAAGCAGAGCAGAAAGUAAGUGG